GACGAACGCUGGCGGCGUGCCUAAUACAUGCAAGUUGAGCGAUGAAGCUUGGUGCUUGCACCAAUUUGAAGAGCAGCGAACGGGUGAGUAACGCGUGGGGAAUCUGCCUUUGAGCGGGGGACAACAUUUGGAAACGAAUGCUAAUACCGCAUAACAACUUUAAACAUAAGUUUUAAGUUUGAAAGAUGCAAUUGCAUCACUCAAAGAUGAUCCCGCGUUGUAUUAGCUAGUUGGUGAGGUAAAGGCUCACCAAGGCGAUGAUACAUAGCCGACCUGAGAGGGUGAUCGGCCACAUUGGGACUGAGACACGGCCCAAACUCCUACGGGAGGCAGCAGUAGGGAAUCUUCGGCAAUGGACGAAAGUCUGACCGAGCAACGCCGCGUGAGUGAAGAAGGUUUUCGGAUCGUAAAACUCUGUUGGUAGAGAAGAACGUCGGUGAGAGUGGAAAGCUCAUCAAGUGACGGUAACUACCCAGAAAGGGACGGCUAACUACGUG
rnacentral:rRNA from 1 species